CUUGAAUCUUGGUGUCUUCACCACAAAGCCUUGAAGCCGGUAUAUGUUCUAUGAAAAUCACGUAUCACGAUGGAGCAAUAAAAACGAGAGCAAAUAAUAAUUUCUCUGUGAAUUUUUCUCUCGAUAAAAAAGACGCUUGAAGAGCGACACAGAAAAGAGAAAAUCUUUCUCUCCAAAAAAGCCGCACGGCACUAACGUGUAUUUGCUCCACUUUUAUAAGCCUGAUAAAGAAUCCUACAAGAGUCCAAUUCAAAAUACGUAUCAGGCAUAUUAGGAUAUAAAUCUUAUCAAAAGAUAUUAACUCCUAUUCAAACACUAAUUCCCAAAUAAAAUAAUAUCACAAUUAAUGACAACAUAUAAACCA
rnacentral:lncRNA from 1 species